rnacentral:rRNA from 1 species
GUGUCAGCCGCCGCGGUAAUACGAAGGGUGCAAGCGUUAAUCGGAAUUACUGGGCGUAAAGGGCGCGUAGGUGGUUUAUUAAGUUGGCUGUGAAAUCCCUGGGCUUAACCUAGGGUGGUCAGUCAAUACUGAUAAGCUAGAGUACGAUAGAGGGUAGUGGAAUUUCCGGUGUAGCGGUGAAAUGCGUAGAUAUCGGAAGGGACACCAGUGGCGAAGGCGACUACCUGGAUCGAUACUGACACUGAGGCGCGAAAGCGUGGGGAGCAAACAGGAUUAGAUACCCUCGUAGUCC